CCACGGGACUCAGCAGUGAUAAA
rnacentral:piRNA from 1 species